GAUGAACGCUGGCGGCGUGCCUAAUACAUGCAAGUCGAGCGAACAGAUGAGGAGCUUGCUCCUCUGACGUUAGCGGCGGACGGGUGAGUAACACGUGGAUAACCUACCUAUAAGACUGGGAUAACUACGGGAAACCGGAGCUAAUACCGGAUAAUAUAUUGAACAGCAUGGUUCAAUAGUGAAAGACGGUUUUGCUGUCACUUAUAGAUGGAUCCGCGCCGCAUUAGCUAGUUGGUAAGGUAACGGCUUACCAAGGCAACGAUGCGUAGCCGACCUGAGAGGGUGAUCAGCCACACUGGAACUGAGACACGGUCCAGACUCCUACGGGAGGCAGCAGUAGGGAAUCUUCCGCAAUGGGCGAAAGCCUGACGGAGCAACGCCGCGUGAGUGAUGAAGGUCUUCGGAUCGUAAAACUCUGUUAUUAGGGAAGAACAAAUGUGUAAGUAACUAUGCACGUCUUGACGGUACCUAAUCAGAAAGCCACGGCUAACUACGUG
rnacentral:rRNA from 1 species